rnacentral:lncRNA from 10 species
CGUGUCUGCGUCGGGUUCUGUUGGAGUGCGUUCGGUGCGCCGUGGGUCCGCGCUGCUUCCACCCAACUUCCUGUUAGUUUCUCUCCUGUCACAAUGGCAUGAUCUCGGCUCACUGCGACCUCUGCUUCCUGGGUUCAAGGAUUCUCCUGCCUCAGCCUCCCAAGUAGCUGGGAUUACAGUUUCCAUCAUUAUCUUCUAUGGAGUUCUUCAUUCCCACAUCUGUGGACCUUAAAAUCCUACCGUUGAGUGCCUGCCUUGGAUCAGCAGUCAGUUCGUUACCUUGGUUCUCAGACGAUGCUUGCAACAACGCCAUGCGAUUCGCCCACUCUUGGGUUACAUUAGUUAUACACUCUGGAGGUGACUUGACCUGUCAUUGUGAACAAUUAUUGCUCUUGGACGACCCAGGACAUAGGCCAGCCAGUACGUACCCCAGUGUGUUGGAGAAUCGCGCUCGGCUUCUUCCUCUGUGCUGAGUCAUGAAAGUUGCCGGAGCAGGUGCAGUUACACAACCUCCAGGUAUGAUCCUGUUUAAGGACUGGAUUUAGGAUAACUACUUAGAGGUUAAAAGUCACAAGGGUGUAUGGAUGAGGCUGGAGUGAUCUGGGACCAAAG